rnacentral:rRNA from 1 species
AGAGUUUGAUCAUGGCUCAGAUUGAACGCUGGCGGCAUGCUUUACGCAUGCAAGUCGAACGGGCUUAGGGGCUUGCUCCUAAGUUAGUGGCGAACGGGUGAGUAAUACAUCGGAACGUACCGUGUAGUGGGGGAUAACGUAGCGAAAGUUACGCUAAUACCGCAUACGAUCUACGGAUGAAAGUGGGGGACCUUCGGGCCUCACGCUAUACGAGCGGCCGAUGUCUGAUUAGCUAGGUGGUGAGGUAAAGGCUCACCAAGGCAACGAUCAGUAGCGGGUCUGAGAGGAUGAUCCGCCACACUGGGACUGAGACACGGCCCAGACUCCUACGGGAGGCAGCAGUGGGGAAUUUUGGACAAUGGGCGAAAGCCUGAUCCAGCCAUGCCGCGUGUCUGAAGAAGGCCUUCGGGUUGUAAAGGACUUUUGUCAGGGAGCAAAACUUAGAGGUUAAUAACCUUUGAGGUUGAGAGUACCUGAAGAAUAAGCACCGGCUAACUACGUG